CACAGCUCUAUAAAACUUCAGUAAAUAAAGAGUUUCAAAAAUCCGACAGGAUUUGGAGAUUCAUCUACAAAACAACGUUGGCAUUACCUUCCAGUUUGAACAGUUGUAUUCUCGCGCCGUCACUAGGGGGCAGUGUUUAUCUGCAAUGCAUCGCGAGAGUAAACAGACGGGGCUAAUUGAUGUCAGGUGCUUUCUGUGGCUGUGUGGGUAAAACCUCUUCAUACAUCCAUGGCUGAAACACAGUUGCAAAGCAGAAUAUUACAACAGGGAUGCAAUAUUUAGAUCAUCGGUAUUAGAGGACAACACAGACUGGAUGGGAUGAAUAUGAUGUGGAUGACCCCCUCCCCUGGUUGAGAUGCUUUCAGGGCUCUCUCUGGACUUUCCUCCCAGGCCAGAACAAUGGCGGGCCCAGGAGCCCAGCUUCCCCACAGGCCCAAGCUAGAGGAGGCCGGGGGCUGGGUACUGAGGGAGCCGCUCAGCAUGCUGAAAUAUGGAGGCGACAGAUAAGGUGGCAGCGGCACAGAGAGGCCCUCUCCCAUGGGCCCAAGGGGAAAUUUGCAGUUAUUAAGAGGAAGAUGAGAGAGAUUAAAUGGCUUUUGUACUCAUUUUCACAGACUUUUAUUUAUUUAUUUUUUAUUAUUUAGGCUGCCUUCAUCUGAGAGAUGAAAGAAGUAGUAAAUUACUUUUUUUUUUUUGCUUCAUUCAGCAUAACACUGGCUUUGAGAGACAUUACUUAGAGUUGUCACACAUCAUAAAACACUUAUUAGUGCAUUGUUUUAAAAAAAGUGCAGACGUAAUAGAAUUACUGUAAUCUACAACUAAUCUCACAAACGUAACAAUGGUUUGGGAUUUUGUUCAAAAUGUUACAUACAUGUAGAUUUAUUACGAUUAUUUAAAUCUUACUGUGUUUGAUUUCCAUUUAAAC